GAUGAACGCUGGCGGCGUGCCUAAUACAUGCAAGUCGAGCGAACAGACGAGGAGCUUGCUCCUUUGACGUUAGCGGCGGACGGGUGAGUAACACGUGGAUAACCUUCCUAUAAGACUGGGAUAACUUCGGGAAACCGGAGCUAAUACCGGAUAACAUGUUGAACCGCAUGGUUCAACAGUGAAAGACGGUCUUGCUGUCACUUAUAGAUGGAUCCGCGCCGCAUUAGCUAGUUGGUAAGGUAACGGCUUACCAAGGCAACGAUGCGUAGCCGACCUGAGAGGGUGAUCGGCCACACUGGAACUGAGACACGGUCCAGACUCCUACGGGAGGCAGCAGUAGGGAAUCUUCCGCAAUGGGCGAAAGCCUGACGGAGCAACGCCGCGUGAGUGAAGAAGGUCUUCGGAUCGUAAAACUCUGUUAUUAGGGAAGAACAAAUGUGUAAGUAACUAUGCACGUCUUGACGGUACCUAAUCAGAAAGCCACGGCUAACUACGUG
rnacentral:rRNA from 1 species